UGCGUAGGCGGGCUAAUAAGUCAGUGGUGGAAUCUCUCGGCUCAACCGGGAAACUGCCAUUGAUACUGUUAGUCUUGAGUUCGGUUGAGGUAGGCGGAAUGUGUAAUGUAGCGGUGAAAUGCUUAGAUAUUACACAGAACACCAAUUGCGUAGGCAGCUUACUAGACCGACACUGACGCUGAGGCACGAAAGCGUGGGGAGCGAACAGGAUUAGAUACCCUGGUAGUCC
rnacentral:rRNA from 1 species